AAGAAUCAAAAUGUAAAAGUCUUUGGAGGUUCAGAUUGUAUUUAUUUAGAAGAUCUAGAUCAAGCACUGAACAGAGAAUCAGAACAAUGAGGCCAUGAUAACUCCAAAGCCAUUUUGACUUCAGCAAGCCAGAAUGAGAUGAAGAUGAAGAUAUGGAGGAGCUUCAAGAGAGCAGCAUACGACAGGGAUGAAGGAUGUCCCUAAGCUCCGGAAAGGGCAUGGCUGCUGGCACCCAGCUCUGACCUCCCAGAAGCAUGGCGACUGUGUCAACAAAAAUCAGAUGUGCAAAGAUCCAAGGCACGCUGUUCUGCUAGCUAAAGAGAUAACAAACCACCCACCCUCACCCUAAAAGCUCCUUUCUCAGGUAAAGUAUACA